rnacentral:rRNA from 1 species
UACGGAGGGUGCGAGCGUUGUCCGGAAUCACUGGGCGUAAAGGGCGCGUAGGCGGCGUGUCAAGUCAGGCGUGAAAGCCCCGGGCUCAACCUGGGAACCGCGCUUGAGACUGGCAUGCUCGAGUUCGGGAGAGGAUGGUGGAAUUCCCAGUGUAGAGGUGAAAUUCGUAGAUAUUGGGAAGAACACCGAUGGCGAAGGCAGCCAUCUGGACCGACACUGACGCUGAGGCGCGAAAGCGUGGGGAGCAAACAGG